CCACUUCAAAGGAAUUUUCAAGAAUUCACUGAAAGUCACCCCCAUUCUGUACUGUAGAGGUUCAGGUUGAGAACUGUCAACAAGAGAGAGGAAAAGUCUUUUUAGUGGAUCCAGCGGGGAGGAAUCUCAGCCCAAAUCCACAUGCAUUUAGGAAAACCUCUAAGGAGAGGGAAAUUGUUUUGAGGAUUUUAAAUCUAUAAGCUUAGCAGAUUCCCCACUGUGCUGAUGGACAAGAUUCACUUGACUAGCCCCGCCUCAAUGUAACACCAUCUUCUUGGCCCUUAGUGAAAUUAGCUUGACUGCAGAUGACAUUCAGCAUUUGAUCAAAUUUAAUGUAAUG
rnacentral:lncRNA from 1 species